rnacentral:rRNA from 1 species
AGAGUUUGAUCCUGGCUCAGGACGAACGCUGGCGGCGUGCUUAACACAUGCAAGUCACGGGGGCUCGCAAGAGCAACCGGCGAACGGGUGCGUAACACGUGAGCAAUCUACCGAUUUGAGGGGGAUAGCCGGCCCAACGGCCGGGUAAUACCGCAUACGCUGGAGGAGGGGAGUCCCUUUUCCAGGAAACCUCCGGGGCAAAUCGAGGAGCUCGCGGCCUAUCAGCUAGUUGGCGGGGUCAAGGCCCACCAAGGCGACGACGGGUAGCUGGUCUGAGAGGAUGGCCAGCCACAUUGGGACUGAGAGACGGCCCAGACUCCUACGGGAGGCAGCAGUGGGGAAUCUUGCGCAAUGGUCGAAAGACUGACGCAGCGACGCCGCGUGUGGGAGGACGCCUUUCGGGGUGUAAACCACUGUUGCCCGGGACGAAUGACCCUUUCGAGGGGAGUGACGGUACCGGGUGAGGAAGCACCGGCUAACUCCGUGCCAGCAGCCGCGGUAAUUC